GUCUAUGGCUAUAGCACCCUGAACGCAUCCCAUCUCACCUGAUCUCUGAAGCUAAGCAGGGUCGAGCCUGGUUAGUACUUGGAUGGGAGGAUUUUUGAAUGGUCUACUAUGGUUC
ensembl:rRNA 5S_rRNA 5S ribosomal RNA